CACUGAAAACAUGAUUUUAUUGUUCCGCAGGGGUCAGAGCUAGAAGUGUUUUGUUUUCAGAUGAAUCUGGAACCUAAGCCCAUUCUGUAAGGAAUUGCCACUUAGUCCUACACAUUGAAUGCAGAAAAUUCUGAUGGUUUAAUGCCUCUCAUUUGGGAUAUCCGAAAACAAUUAGGGCUUAUCUGGAUUACUGCAGCGAAACAAAAACACUCCGUGAUGGCCAAGUGUGGAGCUGGGAGGAACAAGAGGAAGGAGCCGGUGAUGGCUUUGUGACUCUUUCCCCAAAUAACAUGCCCAUGAAUCAGAGGCUCUGGGAGAAGGCUGCUGGUGACUCAAGGCCGGGUAACCAGCGAGCCCUGACCGUCCCUCCGUGCAGGACUCGACUCGACAAGGAAUCCAGGGAAUUGCUCCGACAACAUCAGGCCCGGACUCUUAUUUGUUUUCAUGUUUGAGGGUGGAUCUAAGCCCUGCAACAUCAUCAAAACAUUGUUUUAAUGCAGGUGCCGGUGCCACACGUUAGAGGGCUUGUGCCUGCCAGCAGUGGAAAAGUACCGCCUUGAGUCACCGCGGUGCUGAAGGUCACUGGGCCUCCUUACGCAAGCCCUGGACCCGGCGCCCAUGAACUCGCUACCCUGGGCUGCGAUUGUUCUUUCUUUGGUUUCCCUGUGAGCCCCAGUGACAAACCACCGGAACCCAGAGUGACUCACAGACAGUGGAGUGUCAGAGCCAAAAGGGGCCGUGUGAGCUUCCAACUCGACCCACAGCUCUGCCAGGAGAGGCAGCUGUGUCCAGAGGGGCAGGGAGACCUGCCUAGUGACCUGGCUGGUUGGUGACACAGCCAGGCCUAAGAAUGGAGUCUUCUGGUGACAGUUUAGUGUGUUUGAUCAUGAGGAGAGCACUCAGACCCCACAUCCUCGCGGUUGUCUGUUCGUCUGGGACUCCGGGCCCCUGCCCACCUCCUCUGCUUCUCUCAGUGACACCAGGUGGUUUCUUUGCCUGGGAUCCCCACACCUCCAUUCUCUUGAGUGCUUGGAGCUAUGACCUGUGAGGAUCCUUAGAACUCAAGACUACUGGAUGGAGAGGGGAGUGAAGGGGGCCAGCGGAAGCCUGCAGGUGCCUGGCAGUGCUACACUAAUCUUAUCUGCACUCUGGGGAAUGGAGAUUGUUGCAGAAAUAAAUAUUUGCUUCCAGGGUGGUUCCGCAGCCCUCAGUCCCCGGCACACAUCUGCCCCUCCCCUUGGGCCCAGCUCUGUAACAAAGACUCCAUCUGCCUAGUCAGGGCCUCCUGGUGGCCAAGGGCCCUGAGGGCUCCGAGGGCUCUGAGGGCUGAUUGCCGACACUGUAGUCUGGCAGAGACUGCAGACCCACCAUGGCCACCCCUGCGAGGGCGCCUUGUAUCACUGAGCCUCACCUCACUCUCCGGGGAUGGAGACCUUCAAGACUGCAGGACCUUUGGUUUCUAGAGAGAAGACUACGCCCAGUACUGAUUCGGGUCCAAUCAGAAAGCCAUCCUGAGUGCUCAUGGCAGGAAGAGAUUAAUCCGGAGCAUUUUCUCACAUGAGUGUGGAAGAGCUAAGAACUCGAAGCAGGUUCUUAGCAGGGGGUCACAUAGAGACCAGCAAGUGCUAGAGUGGGGUGCAGGGAUGUCCCUCGUGGGAGCAGGACUGUGAAGCUGUCCCACGGGAGCUCAGCCGGAGGAGAUGCCCCGCACUGGGAUUGGCUGUGCCCCUGAGUCGGGGGUGGCCUGGGAGGAGAACACUCUUGGCACUCCUUCCUCCUGCCCUCCACCUCCUGACAGGGCUGCUUAGUGGCUGCACCUGUCAGGAGAGGAGCAGGCGCCCAUCAGAAGGGCAAACGGAUGGUGGGGUGGGGGCAGGACGAUGAUAGUGAGGACCCUAAUGUCCACUGUCCUUCUGGCUCUUCCAAGCACCAGAUGCUCGGCCAUGUCCUUGACUUGGUGUUAUCUCAGCACUUACCACAUCAGCACAGCGGGGUCAGCAUGACAGUGCUCCCAUGGCGAAGACGGGGAGACCAACUUCCCCAUCACAGCAGGGACACAGUGGGUAGAGAUUUGAACUUGGAUACGACAUCAGAGUCCACCGUCUUACCCACAGCGAGGUAGCUUUAGCUUGUCUAGUGUGCACACAUAUGACCAUUCUCAGGCUGUCAGUGGAUGGAGGUGUAGGGAGUCCACAGGGGAGUAUGAAGCCGGCGUGGAAGGACCAUUGUCCUCUCAACAGUGCCCUGCUGCUGGUGCUUACCAGUGGAGGAAAUGCUACCAUCUCAUUAGCCACCAGGACGUCCAGAAGCAAAGUGAAUCGAGGGUCCAGUCUUCCUGCCACCACGCAGUGGCCAAGCACGCUGCAGAGGCCCCUGAUCGAUGCCUGCUGCGGCCGAGGUUGUGGAGGUCGUGUCGGGCCUGCUGCCGUGUCCCUGGUUUUGGAGAGAUGCUGUUUCCUUGUGGACCACUAGCUGGAUGCUCCUCCCUCCAUCCCAAAUGCAGUGACGUCCACAGUCUUCCAGUUGUGUUUGGUUUUUUACCGGCUGUGGGCUGGGGAAGGGGUCUCCAUCUCAGUAGCAGUUUGUUCUGCAAGGACUCAGUGUUCUAGCUGACCUGGCCAGCCCUGAGUGAAUCUCUUAGAAGAUGAACAGUUACUUUAACUUGACAGCAGAGUUUGUUAAAGUUCUAGGAGUUAAAUAAAUGGUGUGACUAGCACAUUUCCAGAUGUGUACACACA